rnacentral:lncRNA from 1 species
AAGCACCUCCUGAACCAACCGCAUUGUGUCAAGCCCAAUGAUGGACCAACCAGAUGGAAUUCUCACCCAGCACAGUCCACAGUGGAACAGCUGAGCCUCAGUAAACUCGAGGUCAGUCACACGUCUCUUGAGGACAGUAGAAGGUUGCACAGAUGCAGCAAGGAAGUGGCCAAAAAAGCAAAUGAAAACCACAGACCUGUUUACUGAGCAAACAGCUGCAUAGAAGGGUCGACCUGACACCCCGGGCACUUCUGCAUCGGGAAAUGAUAUCAUUCUCCUCAAAUCUACUGAACAAUGCUACAGAGAAUGCUACAAAUGGGAGAAAGUACAUGGAGGAAAAACACACAGACAAGGAGAGAACCUGCAAACUCCACACAGAAAGGCCUCUGUCCACCCAGGUUUGUACCCAGAAGCUUCUUGAUGUGAGGCAACAAUACUAACCACUGCAUCACCACGGUGCUUAGCAAACACAGUAACGCAAAGGCAAUGCAAGUUGCAGCUGCCAGAUAUUAAGAUAAAAUUGUGAAUGAACUUUACUUGACACCACGGACAAAAAAGACAGCAUUCAGCUGGCUUUGCGCAAACUUCUGUUUUUAAAUGUGCCAUCUUAAAAAUUAUUACUCUCCAGUCAACAACUGACAUUCAUAAAACAUAAAACAGUUCUUCAUUCAAUUUUUAAUGACAGUGAUUUGAGGUCCCAUCCAACCCCUUUUAGUUUAAUUAUAAAUAAGAUACCAUUCUUCCAUUUUUUUCUGAGAAACAGGUACCAUCACUGAAAACACCAAGGUCUGGACCUCUGGAUUCUUUCCAAAGCACAUACAACAGAACAGUCGUGAAAUAAUUGCCUAAAAUAACUUUAUUUGGGUGCUGUAAGUACAUUGUACUGCAUCAAGAUACCGACAUUAUUAACUAACCAUUGCGAUUAUUCUCUUUACAUGAAGAGAAUAAUCUCAGCAGCCUCUGGAUUUGUUGUGUUACAAACUAACAAUUAAAUUCUCCUGAUAGGCGAGGAGGGGGGCACUAAGCUGCAAAAUUGAACCUGUCUAAAAGCAAAACCUCAAGAAGAAGAGAGUUUAACUAAAGACCCUUCUUAAGCUAUUAGAAUAUAAAAAUGAAAAGACUUCACCAGAUGAGGCUAAAGCUUUGGAUGUGGACAGGAUACUGCAAGAAAAGGAGCGAUGAUGGAGGUAGGCUAACAUGCAUAGCCAUAAUUACAGCGACCCUCUUUGACAAUAGGCAGAUUAAUAUAAAAUAUAUAUCCCAAAUAUAAAUACGUAUUACAACAGAACAGUCAACAGUCAAAACAACCAAAAUGUUAUUGUAUUGUAUUAUUGUACAUUAUUGUAUCAAACACAUUUUUUUCUUAGCCCACAUUUACUGUCUCCAUUUAGCCUAUAUAAUUCUCUACUCUUUGAUAAGGUUAAACUCCCUACAGGUUUUAGAAUAAGUGUGUUGAAUAUAAUAAUCUCUUCUGGUUUUUCAUGUAUUAUGUAAAAAAAAUGUAUACAAUAUGUAGUAUAUUUUUGAGUCUUAAUUUAUUAAUAAGUUUCCACAAAUGUCCCCAGAAAUCAACAUUUAAGGGGUUAUUUUUCAAAAGUAAUUAAUCCCUGUGUACGGCCCUGGGUACCAAGCUGCAAUCUCAAAUAGCUCACACUUCCUAGGCUGUGAGCCCCUACUUAUACACAGAACAAAUGUUAAAACUUUCUCCAUGAUACAUACAUAUUCACCUUAUAAGGUUGCCUGCCAUGGUACGUACAUCUUCUUAUAAGAUUGCUUGUUUAAGCACUUCAACACAACUCAUGGUAUGUAUGGUUGCAUGUCUUGUAACUACAGAUCACUUGUUGUGAAUAGUUAUGUACAAUAAAAGGAGACAAAAAGGUCCAAGAAGGCUCAGGUCAAAUUAAAUUCACUCCAGAAAUGAGAUGGUGAAUUUGCCCUUUCCAUAACUAAGAGUUGAUUAAUAUGAAAAAGUCAGAUUGAAAUUAUUGAGGUCCUGAGAAAGCAAAUCAGAUUUUAUUUUGUCUGGUCAACAAUUGAGACAAUAAACCCAACUGAGAACAGUCAGGUUUAUUUACACAUGAAACAACUACAGCAUAGAACAACACUAUUAUUCAUUUGUAAUUAUUUUUCUGGCAGCCUGCAGAGUAUAAAAAUAGAGUUUCUUUCUCAUUUUUACCUCUGGUUUUUGUCUCGUCAUUAAGUCCUGUGGUAAUAUCUGGCUCUUUAGCUGCUAAUUACUCCAUUGUGUUCUAUAGUUGGUCACUAACUGUGUUUGUCUUUUGUGUCAAGCAGGCAACAGAGCUUUUUGGCUGCCUGGGACUGAAAACAAACAAUAGACUGUAAGAUGCUGAAAAUAAUUCAUGAAUUAAAUAAAGAGUUUGUGCUUCAAGAUGAUGCUGCACUAGAUAAACUAAACAGGAUUCUUAAAAGAUAAGUUGCAAAUGUGAAAGCUGACAUGGUACAAAGGAUGUGGUAAGAAGA